GACGAACCGUGCGAACGUUGUUCGGAUUCACUGGGCUUAAAGGGCGCGUAGGCGGGUUGUCAAGUCAGGGGUGAAAGCCUCCAGCUCAACUGGAGAAGUGCCUUUGAUACUGAUGAUCUCGAGGGAGGUAGGGGCAUGUGGAACUUCCGGUGGAGCGGUGAAAUGCGUAGAUAUCGGAAGGAACGCCGGUGGCGAAAGCGACGUGCUGGACCUCUUCUGACGCUGAGGCGCGAAAGCUAGGGGAGCAAAC
rnacentral:rRNA from 1 species